AGAGUUUGAUCCUGGCUCAGGAUGAACGCUAGCGACAGGCUUAACACAUGCAAGUCGAGGGGCAGCGGGUAGAUGAGCUUGCUCAUUUAUGCCGGCAACCGGCGCACGGGUGAGUAACACGUAUGCAACCUGCCCGUCUCAGGGGGAUAAUCGUCGGAAACGGCGUCUAAUACCCCGUAUGAAGCUGGACGGCAUCGUCUGGUUUUGAAAGAAUAUCGGAGACGGAUGGGCAUGCGGCGCAUUAGCUAGUUGGCGGGGUAACGGCCCACCAAGGCGACGAUGCGUAGGGGUUCUGAGAGGAAGGUCCCCCACACUGGUACUGAGACACGGACCAGACUCCUACGGGAGGCAGCAGUGAGGAAUAUUGGUCAAUGGGCGAGAGCCUGAACCAGCCAAGUCGCGUGAGGGAGUACUGCCCUAUGGGUUGUAAACCUCUUUUGUCGGGG
rnacentral:rRNA from 1 species